rnacentral:rRNA from 1 species
UACGUAGGGGGCAAGCGUUGUCCGGAAUCAUUGGGCGUAAAGAGCGCGUAGGCGGUCCGGUAAGUCGGUUGUGAAAACUGGGGGCUCAACCCUCAGAGGCCGACCGAUACUGCCGGGCUAGAGUCCGGAAGAGGCGAGUGGAAUUCCUGGUGUAGCGGUGAAAUGCGUAGAUAUCAAGAGGAACACCUGAGGUGAAGACGGGUUGCUGGGCUGACACUGACGCUGAGGCGCGAAAGCUAGGGUAGCAAACGGG